UGAGCUAACAUCUGUGCCCAUCUUCCUCUAUUUGUAUGUGGGACGCAUCACAGCAUGGUUUGAUAAUGGAGCUUAAGUCCGCACCAUGGAUCCGAACUGGCCAACCCUGGGCAGCAGAAACGGAGCACGUGUACUAACCACUUGGCCACCAGGUUGACCCCCUCAAUCAAAGGCCAAGAUCACGUCUCCUCCAAAGAGCAGACACCGAGAUGAUGGAGAAAUUAGACUGCUUAAGGAGUUCCUGUCCCACCCGUCAGCAGAAGAACUAAUACAUGGACUUUGGAGUCAGAAGACUUAGAUUCAAAUGACAAGACAGCCAUUGCCCAGCAACCUUAUGAAACAGGCAGUGCAAGUAAUAUUGCUAUGGAUGGUGAAACCAAGGAUGAACAAGACAGAGCAAGAAGAUAACCUUCUGCAAGCCAAGAAGGGAGCUCUCCCCAGAGCCCAACCGUGUUAGAGCACUAAUCUCAGACUUCCAGCCUCCAGAAUUGGGGAAAAAUCAGGAGCUGACCUUGGACUCACGAGGUAUACAACAAGGAGUGGAAUUGCUAAGUCAUAUGGAAACUCUGUGUUUAUCAUUUUGAGGAAUUGCCAAAAUUUUCAAAGUAG